UCCUACGGGGCGCAGCAGUGAGGAAUAUUGGUCAAUGGCCGGAAGGCUGAACCAGCCAAGUCGCGUGAGGGACGACUGCCCUAUGGGUUGUAAACCUCUUUUCUAAGGGAAGAAUAAAUGCUACGUGUAGCAUGAUGCCUGUACCUUAUGAAUAAGCAUCGGCUAACUCCGUGCCAGCAGCCGCGGUAAUACGGAGGAUGCGAGCGUUAUCCGGAUUUAUUGGGUUUAAAGGGUGCGUAGGCGGAACAUUAAGUCAGCGGUAAAAUCGAGGGGCUCAACCCCUUUAAGCCGUUGAAACUGGUGAU
rnacentral:rRNA from 1 species